rnacentral:rRNA from 1 species
GGUAUUGAAAUAAGAUUUUAAUUGAAUGCUAAGAGAAUGGAAGUUCAGAAAAAAACUUUUUUUAAAUUAAAAAUUGAAGUUUUUUUAAUUUGUGCAGAAACAAUUAUUUAUAUUAAAGACAAGAAGACCCUAUGAAUUUAUUAAAUUUUUAUUUAAUAUGUAAUUACUAUUAGAAAAAUUUUGGCUGGGGCGGCUAGAAAAUAUUAUAAACUUUUUAAAAAUAAAAUGAUCCAUUAUUAAUGAUUUUAUGUUAAAUACUCUAGGGAUAACAGCGUUAUAUUUUUUGAUAGAUCAUAUUGACAAAAAAGUUUGCGACCUCGAUGUUGGAUUAGGAUACUUUUUUAAUGAAGAUAUUAAAAAAAGAAG